rnacentral:rRNA from 1 species
GAUGAACGCUGGCGGCGUGCCUAAUACAUGCAAGUCGAGCGAACAGACGAGGAGCUUGCUCCUUUGACGUUAGCGGCGGACGGGUGAGUAACACGUAGGUAACCUACCUAUAAGACUGGGAUAACUUCGGGAAACCGGAGCUAAUACCGGAUAAUAUUUCGAACCGCAUGGUUCGAUAGUGAAAGAUGGCUUUGCUAUCACUUAUAGAUGGACCUGCGCCGUAUUAGCUAGUUGGUAAGGAAACGGCUUACCAAGGCAACGAUACGUAGCCGACCUGAGAGGGUGAUCGGCCACACUGGAACUGAGACACGGUCCAGACUCCUACGGGAGGCAGCAGUAGGGAAUCUUCCGCAAUGGGCGAAAGCCUGACGGAGCAACGCCGCGUGAGUGAUGAAGGUCUUCGGAUCGUAAAACUCUGUUAUUAGGGAAGAACAAACGUGUAAGUAACUGUGCACGUCUUGACGGUACCUAAUCAGAAAGCCACGGCUAACUACGUG